UUACUCUUUCCUUUUGACCAUCGCCGAUUCCUUCUUUCCACAAUCAUCAAAGGACCAUAAGCGUCGGAUUUAUCAGCGCCGUUGCUUCCUCCUGAAUCAGGUCUGACUUCUUGGAUUAGUUCGUGCUCCUUACUGCCUUAUCCCAUAUCUUGUUGUUCAAUCGUUGUCUUGGUGCAAAUAUCCUGUGUAUGCCCAUAAUGGCCGCAAGAGAAACAGACCGUGGGUAAGUAUUCAUACUUGACUUUUUGCAGUAAUCCAUUGAUAAAAACAUGAGAUAUGAGAGCCUUCCCAAGAUUCACAUAGACCGCCAUUCUUGCAAACCUUCCCCGAACGCCGUUAUCAGUAUUAAAAUCCAAUUUUGCAACCCUUCCUAUUAUUCCCCCUAUUUCUCAGAGUAUUUUCCUUUUGUAAAUGUGCCCAGGCAAAUCGGGUAGCCUUAUCCAAGCCAUGACCAUAUUCGGGUAGGGCUGCGAAGGACUGAAAUCCAUAUGAACAGUUAAGUAUUGGCCAUAUACUACCCAUGGCCCUUGACUUAAUACCUUUUCACAAUCGGCUGGAUUCUGGAACUUGGCUAAGUAGUAGCCGUUUUCGAUGUCCAUUAAACAAAACGGUUGACUCGGGCGCCAUAAAGAAUGGAUCUUGUUUGUAGAGUUGCGUAUCCGAUGUUUCUACCUAAUAACUUUAUAACCACGGUAUGUUCCAUAUCUUUUAUGAGUAUUUGGUUAAUCCGGUCAAAGAAAGCCGGUAUACCGUUGACCAAGGAUCUGACAAUAUCUCCGUCAAGAAUAUCUAGGUCAUCAUCGUCUUCUUCUUUAGAUGAUGGUUCUGCUUUUUCGUCACCUCUUAAGCCUGUACCCAUGAGGCGAUCUUUCCAGGACCUAGGUCUGUCUGGAGCCGAAACAGCGUCCAUGGCCACAUCUGCAUUGCCUUCUUGAUUAUUGAUUAUUUCAAUUCUUGAUAGUCGACUAUCUCUUCUCCCUUCUCCAAUUUUCUCUCGCUCUUCAGACUCCA
rnacentral:lncRNA from 1 species